GCAAUCUGUCACAAAAGCCAGUGCUGCAGCUCGCAUACAUCGUACAAAAGCUAAGUCCCCAUUGUCCGCGGCAGUGCUGUAAUAUGCAAUUGGCCUCUGUGUUUCUGGGUCAAUACCAAAGUGGUUUGUCCAUUAUGUACAAGACUGAAGAAAGUGAAUGACCUGGUGUAAUCUGUCAGUCCUAAUCUUUCUCAUCUUCAC